AGCUAAAGAACCCUCUCUCUCACUCAUAGAAAAGAAAAAAACAAAAAUAAACUCAAACUUAGACUGAUUUUAUUCAUGAAAGAGAUUACAUAUUUAUACUACUUGUAGUCAAAGAGAAUUAAAGAGAAUUGUGGGAAAACAAUGCAUAGAAAAUAGAAACAUUGACUAUAAUAUUAUUAAUGAGUCAAAGACUCAGUCUUCCAUGCAGAUUGAUCAAAGAUGACCCUUCGGUUCACGUUCUGGUCAAGGAAACCGUUCGGCUAUUGUCCAGGUUCAUCUGAACCUGAUAGAUGCAUGGCGGUAACGAUAAGGACUCUUGCGGGACUGUCUGGAUGGUCCACCGGGUGAGAAUCCAUGUCUGUCUUCAGGUUCUUCACGAUCCAAGCUAAUUCUGGCUCGACUAUUGUCCUUAGAAUGUCGAGAUGGUCGGGAAAGACAAGUUCUGGUACGGUCAGUUCGGUUGUCUGGACGUGGUUCCAGCCUUAGCUCCAUUCCGGACGUACGCGGGUCGAUCCGGUACAUGGCUCGGUCAGUCUGAUCGGUACAGUUGGAUGGAUGAACCUCAGUUAAAUUGUUCAGGACGUCCUGAUCUCCAUGCGGAGCUGGUUCCAUGUACUAAUCCAUGGACUGGGGCACAUCAUUCCCUCCUUCUUCAAAAAGAUUUGUCCUCAAAUCUGUAACAUUAAAAGGAAAAGGGUUAUAAGCAAAAGAAUUAUAAUCAGCACAAUGCUCACCUUGAGUUCGGUCCAGUUUUUGAAUGGAAGAAGAUCCUUCUUGGUUUGCUUGAUGACCACAAAUUUAUUCUUCAUCUAGCCCAUCCAUUGGCUUAUUUCUGAAGUCAUCGAAAAUCAGCAAUGAAACUGAAAGUUCUUCCUUUUCUGGCUCGGUUUCAACUUUGUCAUUCUCCAAAGUCACCAACGGUUUCUGGUUUUGGCACUUGUUAGCAUAAUGACUGAUCAUAUGGCAUUUGAAGCACCUGUUAGAAUGAGUUUUGCUUGUGGUUUUCACAGCUUUGCUUUUAUCAAAAGAGAUCUCAUUAGUUUUCAAACUGGAAUUUGAAAGAGAAGAAUGAUUACCUCGUCUGAGAUUAUGUUGUUUUGGUGCAGAAGAAGUGUUGGUGUUUCCCUUCUUUUUGAGUUGCUGAAUAGCAAAAAUUGUCUUAUGCAACAUCUUCUCCAAACUUGCAUAAGUCUGAGGCUCGUUCCGAUCAAGCAUAUCACAGUUGCUUCUCUUGGCUUUGGUGAAGGGACGAUCACCAUUUCUGACCCUCUUCUCAUCAUCAUCUAACCUGUUGGUUUCUUUGUUUCUGCACAAAAUCAAACCCAUUAGAAGCAAACUGUUUCUUAACUCCAAAAAUCAAUUGCUCUUUUUCAAACACGGUUUUAAAAGGAUAAAAAACGUCUUGUUGUGGUUUUGAAGCCUGGUUUGAUUUCUUGUGAAGUCCAAACAUCCUUAAAAACACUUAACCAAAGAGUUAGCAAAUAAAAAUCCUCACACUCUCAAAGUGUUUAGCUCACAAUUUUUAGGUGAUCACUCAGAGUUCUUUUCACUAGUUCAAAGGAUGAUAGGCAGUCAAAAAUCAGCAAUCAAAAACCAAAACAACCUUUUAUGGGUAAAAGAAAAGAGAAAGAAAAUGAAGAGAUUUUUAUACGGAUCCGCCUUAACUAUCUUAAGGUUGGGUUUCUCUUCAGCCUGCAAGGUUUCUCUUCCACCACUCCCCCUGGAUUUCUUUUCAGAAGUGACUCAAGCCAAAUCUUUUACUAUUUUUUCUUUUUUUUUCGCUUAUUUUUUUAAACUGGCGAUCACAAGGGAGUAAAGGAACAUCCCGGAUCCAACAAGAAAUAAUAAAAGGAAUUUGUGGAGAGAUGAGAAGAUGAAAAGAUGAAAUGAAAACAAACCAACCAAAGUGGCUCUGAUACCACUUGAUACGUCAUGAAUUGAAAGAUCACUUUAGCUGGAUGUUGGAUAUGAUCUGAGAAGGCAAAUGACACUUCUGGAACUGAGAUGGAUUGAAAGAAUCGUCAAGAGAUGCGUAAUGGCUCUUGAUAUACCCACGAUCUAAGGCUAACCACCCAAGAAAGAAUGUAGUGCGUUGGCUAACCACCAAACAACACACAAAGAUGAAUUGGCUGACCACCAAAUCAAGAAACCGGUUCACACCAAUGAACUAACUAAAGAACUCUCUCUCUCACUCAGAGAAAAGAAGAAAACAAAAAUAAACUCAAACUUAGACUGAUUUUAUUCAUGGAAUAGAUUACAUAUUUAUACUACUUGUAGUCAAAGAGAAUUAAAGAGAAUUGUGGGAAAACAAGGCAUAGAAAAUAGAAACAUUGACUAGAACAUUAUUAAUGAGUCAAAGACUCAGUCUUCCAUGCAGAUUGAUCAAAGAUGACCCUUCAGUUCACGUUCUGGUCAAGGAAACCGUUCGGCUAUUGUCCAGGUUCAUCCGAACCUGAUAGAUGCAUGGCGGUAACGAUAAGGACUCUUGCGGGACUGUCUGGAUGGUCCGCCGGGUGAGAAUCCAUGUCUGUCUUCAGGUUCUUCACGAUCCAAGCUAAUUCUGGCUCGACUAUUGUCCUUAGAAUGUCGAGAUGGUCGGGAAAGACAAGCUCUGGUACGGUCAGUUCGGUUGUCUGGACGUGGUUCCAGCCUUAGCUCCAUUUCGGACCAACGCAAUGUCGAUCCGGUACACGGCUCGGUCAGUCUGAUCGGUACGGUUGGAUGGAUGAACCUCGGUUGAAUUGUUCAGAACGUCCUAAUCUCCAUACGGAGCUGGUUCCAUGUAUAGAUCCAUGGACUGGGGCACAUCAACUUUCUUAGUGGUUUUUUAAUAAGUUUUUUUUUAUUUAUCACUUAUCUCUUAACUGUCGAGUUAAUCAGCUGACUCAAAGAACUAGAGAUCAGGAUGUUUUUAUUCAUUGUAGGUUCUCACGGCGGUGCCGGUUUGAUUCAACCCCGUAGGAUUCUAAUCUAAUGACCACUAGAUCUUGACCCGCGCUUAGCAAGCGCGGAUUAUUUUAUGACGAUAAUUUCACUAAUAACUUAACAAAUAUUUUGUUAAUUUGUAAGAAUUUUGUGUAUUUAUAAUAUUAUUGCAUUUAAAUCAAUACUUUUGAAUUCGACCCAAACCCGCGGUCUAACCGGUUAAUCCGCUGAUCCGACAAUUCGAUUUAGAUUUGUAAAAAUAUUCAUAUUUAAAAAAUCACUAAAACCCGAGACUAACCGAUUGAACUGAUGGAUGACCAAUAUAUAAUCCAAUUUGAUUUAAAUUGUUAUAGUUUCAUAAUUUGUCACUUUUUAAUCCAAAUUUUAAAGUUCCUUAUUUUUUAAUUUUAUGAAAUUAUGACGUUUCUACAAAAUUUUGAUAGAGAAAAAUGAUAGAUUUAAAAUAAUUAACAAUUAUAAAUAUGUCUUGAUCAUAUUGCUCCUUUUUAUAUAGCUUAAUUAAUUUUAUAAUAAUUGUUUUGUGUAAUUUAUGUUGUUAAUAAUUUAUAUUAUAAUCGAUUUAAAUUUGCUGUUAACAAUUAGUGUUAAGCAUUUUUUUAGAUAACAUAUAUUUUGAACAUUUUUCAUAAAUUUUUUUGUUAUUAAAUUUAUUGUAAAUUUUAUAAUGUUUAUAUAUAUAUAUAUAUUAUGUAAUGGCUAUUAUUGAAAUGUUAUGUUACUUAAAUCAAUGAUAUAACCAUUAUUUAGUAAUUAUAAAUAAAAUAAUAUGUUAAUUUAAUUAAUUUAUUAUUGAUUGAAAUGUUUUUGUAGUAUUUAAACCUGUAAAAAUAAGUUCUAUUUAUUUUCGUUAUUUUAUAAAUUAUUUGAAUUUUUUUAAUUAUUUAAUCUAUCUAAAUCAUUUGAAAGAAAUUUUUUAAUAAUAUUAAAAAUAUGAAUUCUAAUAUUUUAUAUUGUUUGGACACAAAAUUAAUUAUAAUGUUGUUUGGAAACAUGGAUAGUAGUAUAAAAAAAUAAGUAUAUUGUUUGGAAACAUUGAUAGUAGUAUAAAGAAAGUAUUAUUAGUGAUUUAAUGUAGGUUUAACUAUAAAGUAGAAAGAUGCAUUUAAUUUAAAAACUUACAAAAUAAAUGUGAAGUCCAACGCAAUGUUUCUGCUUUAAUAAUAUAGAUGAUGACAUAAAAAAAAAUUCAGUUCCUGCUUUUCAACUACCUUAAUUUUUUUCUUUAAAUACAUUAAUUUGACACAGGAUAAAACUUUUGUAUGCUUAUAUAAAGUUGGUACUUCUAAGAAAUAGUCGAAACGAUAUCUAACUUGGCAAGACAAACAUAUAGUUCAUAUAUACAUAUAUGUGUGUUGAUUUUAGAAAUGUAGUUUUUUUUUAACAACAGAAAUAUAGUUUUUUUUUAGCAACACAGAAAUAUAGUUUAAAAUCAAAUAAAUCCGACAAAAUUUGAAAAUAUUAGCUGAAAUGUCAGUCACAAACACCAAAUCCAAACAUUGUUUUUUUUUUAAAAAAAAUAUUAAAUUUAUUCAAAAAAACAUUUGUACAAUGAUUGUGAUUUUAGGCGAGAGUUUUUAGAAAAUAAAACUUAAACUUAGAAUCCAAAAAGAAAAAUAGAUCAUCGAAAGGAACCAUAUCUCCAUGGCGUUUGUAUACUUUUGAUCUUCCAUCAUUCUUAAGCUUGAGAUGCGGUUCCUGACCAGCUUGUCGAUCUGUUUAAUCAGAACUGCAGGGGAAUUAGCCUUCUCUCCAUGCCGCCUCCCAUUCCUUUCGUACCAGAUGGUUGAUAGUGUGGCCUGAAACAUGUAUAUGAGGAGGAACAAAUGUACCUUUUGCCGUGUUUGAUCAUUUAUAAGGCGAGUGACCUUAUCCCAUUCACUAGUGUAUUGCCCAGAUAGUAACUUAUGAGUAAGGUUUCUCCAUAUCUCCUCCGAGAAAGAGCAUUGGAAGAACAAGUGGUUUCUAGUUUCAAGCAUCGCAGGACAGAGACAGCAAGUUGUUGUCGUUGCAAUGUUCCAGUUGGAAAUUCUGUUGCCUUUUGGAAGUCUAUUCUGGAUAGCUAUCCAAGCCAUGAACUAGUAUUUUGGAGUGUUGAAUUGAAACCAGAUACUUCUGUGCCAUUCGACCUUUGGGUGGGCUGUUCUAAUUACAGAUGGCCCCUCUGCGUCUUCUCCUUCUGUGAGAGUUCACCACCUUCUCCACUGUAUCAUUUAGUUGAAUCCCCAUAUCUCCUCUACCUUGAGUUUUUUCAAUAAGUCUUCCAUGAAGAGACCAACUGUCAUAUCAAAACAACGUCGAGGAACCGCUAUGAACUUCCACCUUCGCGAACUGUGCUGCAAUAUUUCUGCAAACAUUGUUUUUUUUCGUUUGCUUUUGUGCUGUAUUAUUUGAUAGAUAGCUAUAAACUAGAUUAGUUUUCAUUAUAGUGUAUAUAAACACACAAAUGCACAAAAAAACAGUGAAUUCCAAUAUCCA